GUUAAGGUACAUUUUGCACUGCAAACUAGGCACUAUGCCAAGAACUCGCCGGCUCAUUCUGUACAUUUCAGUGACCAGAACGCGGCUUGGAGAACCCUUCCCUCCGUUACCACAUCCGAGUUGAUCGCAAAAAAUGUAACAGAGAGAUUUUGGAAGAUGAUCAUCUUCCAUUGUAUUUGUGUGCAGCAAAAUGCAUAAGAAGUGGAGGGAAACCAAUCACUGAUGAAGGAGAAGAAAUGGCUGUGGUGGAGAUAGAGGUUGUUGGCCCUUUUCAUGUGCUGUGCACAAGAAGAUCAAGCUGUUCUACUUUUGGUGGAUGUGCAGAAAGGUAGAAUUCAUAAUAAGAAACCUUGAUGAUGGCAGUGGAGAACUUGUGGGGCCUUUUUCUGUGGGAAAAAGUGGACACUGUGCAUUUAGGGUUUUAGGCGACAAAUCGGAUGAUG